rnacentral:rRNA from 1 species
AACGUAGGUUCCGAGCGUUAUCCGGAUUUACUGGGCGUAAAGCGUGUUCAGGCGGCUCGGCAAGUCGGGCAUGAAAUCUCUCGACUCAACCGGGAGAGGCUGUCCGAUACUGCUGGGCUUGAGGGCAGUAGAGGGUGGUGGAAUUCCGGGUGUAGUGGUGAAAUGCGUAGAUAUCCGGAGGAACACCGGUGGCGAAGGCGGCAUUCUGGACCGAAACUGACGCUGAGGCGCGAAAGCCAGGGGAGCAAACGGG